rnacentral:rRNA from 1 species
UAGGGAAUCUUCGGCAAUGGGGGCAACCCUGACCGAGCAACGCCGCGUGAGUGAAGAAGGUUUUCGGAUCGUAAAGCUCUGUUGUAAGAGAAGAACGUGUGUGAGAGUGGAAAGUUCACACAGUGACGGUAACUUACCAGAAAGGGACGGCUAACUACGUGCCAGCAGCCGCGGUAAUACGUAGGUCCCGAGCGUUGUCCGGAUUUAUUGGGCGUAAAGCGAGCGCAGGCGGUUUAAUAAGUCUGAAGUUAAAGGCAGUGGCUUAACCAUUGUUCGCUUUGGAAACUGUUAAACUUGAGUGCAGAAGGGGAGAGCGGAAUUCCAUGUGUAGCGGUGAAAUGCGUAGAUAUAUGGAGGAACACCGGUGGCGAAAGCGGCUCUCUGGUCUGUAACUGACGCUGAGGCUCGAAAGCGUGGGGAGCAAACAGG